GUGUUGCUUCGGCAACACAUAUACUAAAAUGGGCACGGUACAGAGAGGAUGAGCAUGGCCCCCCGCGCAAGGAUGACGCGCAUAUUCAUGAAACGCUCCUCGCCCUU